GGUCCGAUGGCCAGGGUGGACAGAAAAAACAAAAAAAAACUCCAACGGCUGGAGAAAAAAAUAAAAUCUGCAGGGGUUCCAGACCACGAGACCACCCAGUCCCCUCUGGGUAUUCUACCUCACAUAAAUGAAACAGUCCUCUUUGUAUUUAGGGUUCUCAUGGAAGGACUUGAUGAUGAUGGUCAUGCAGACUUCUGACUUUUAAUCCAUCAAUGUUGGAACAUCAUGAUGCUUUGAGUAAAUGGUGGUGGUGCAGG